rnacentral:rRNA from 1 species
UCCUCAUCGCGAUUUCCAGAGAUGGAUUUCUUCAGUUCGGCUGGAUGAGUGACAGGUGCUGCAUGGCUGUCGUCAGCUCGUGUCGUGAGAUGUUGGGUUAAGUCCCGCAACGAGCGCAACCCUCGCCUUUAGUUGCCAUCAUUUAGUUGGGUACUCUAAAGGAACCGCCGGUGAUAAGCCGGAGGAAGGUGGGGAUGACGUCAAGUCCUCAUGGCCCUUACGCGUUGGGCUACACACGUGCUACAAUGGCGACUACAGUGGGCAGCGACCAUGCGAGUGGAAGCUAAUCUCCAAAAGUCGUCUCAGUUCGGAUUGUUCUCUGCAACUCGAGAGCAUGAAGGCGGAAUCGCUAGUAAUCGCGGAUCAGCAUGCCGCGGUGAAUACGUUCCCAGGCCUUGUACACACCGCCCGUCACACCAUGGGAGUUGGUUUCACCCGAAGGCAGUGCGCUAACCGCAAGGAGGCAGCUGACCACGGUGGGAUCAGCGACUGGGGUGAAGUCGUAACAAGGUAGCCGUAGGGGAACCUGCGACUGGAUCACCUCGUUAAGCUUGGAUCCCGGGAAUCAGAAUUCCCGCGA